GGAGAGCGCCUACUCUGAGGAAACUUGUGAAGUGUAUGUAUGUGUUAAGCAGAGUUUCAAGAGCAGGCCCAUUUCUGCAGCUUGUUUUAGUGCAGCAUGUGGUAGAUGGGGUUGAGCGAUGUCAAAGACCUAAAAGAGCAGGUGCUAAACCUUCAUAGACAGAAAUUGCGAAAUCUCUCUGGAGUGGGGAGCUCUGACAAGAUGGCAGAAUGUUCACAGCAUUCGAAAGAAAGCGAGAUAACUGUCAAUGUCGUAUUUAGUAUGAAAUGCAUGCCAUCUCUUUAACAGUCUGCUGAUCUUGGCCUUGACGCAUGCAGACUCUCAUCUCCUCUCCCCUCAGAUAGACGCUGCCUCAUCUGCCGCCUCCUCUCCUCUCUCUCAAACCUUCACAAGUGAAAUGAAAGCGAGCUAAUGAGAUCAUUUGAGCAGAGAUCACACGACACACUGUUUGUUAGAUUAAUCAAAGAUAACAAGCCAUAAGUUUUCCAAUAGCCAAAGAUUAAGACAUAAAAAGAAAGCAGUCUUCCAAUAGCAGAGAAGAAAGAAGCAGAAAGAAACGGAGGAUAAGGAAAGGUAGAGAUGAAGCUCAUGCAAGAAAAAUAAUGAGGAUUAGAAGACGUAAACGCUGUAAGACUCCUGCGUGCUGGACUUGAAUAAUGCAGCGCUGAUAGUAUUGCCAAACAGGAGAAGAAAGCCCCCAUACCGAGUCUUCAAUGCACUUUCUCUCAGCACUUCAUUACCCAGCAGGCAAUUGGAACCGAAAAUGAAAGUAUGAAACGUCUCACCUACUCUUGCCCAUGCUGUUUGCCUUUAUAUUCAUGUCUGCCUGCCAAGGAUCAAGCGCACUGAGGGCAUUAAGUCUGGGAGAGCACGCUAAACACAUAUCACACAGAAGCCAUGACAUAUUUGCUUGCCAGCUGUAAAAUAGCCUCAUCUCAGGCCAUGCGGCACAUUUAUAUAGUAUUUUUUUUUUUUUCACCAAAACCACAAUUUGACAUUUGAUUUUUAUAGAAUGAAAUGGAAAGUGGCAGGAUCCUGUGGCAUUCAGUGCAUGCACAUGCACUUUAAAAGUUUGAUUUCAUUUAGACUAAAUCAAUAAUUCCUUUUAAAAUGUCAUGCAAACGGUUUAGUCUGACUGAAAUCACACCAGUCACACAUUCCCCCCAUCCCCUCUUUUUUGUGGGAUUGGACUAACGGACUUGUGGACUUGUCUAAUGGAUGAUUGUAGCUCAGCUUCACCGUGUAAAUACGUUCAUCAAAUUAUACUUUGGCUGGAUAUUGCAUGUUUGAGCUGAAAAACAUGUUAAGCAAGUAAUGUUACAAAACAUCAAAAAUUAGUUUACUACUUUAAAGCACAACAGAAGAUUUUAUUUUAUUAAAAAACAAACAAACGAUGAUUUAAAAUGUAUUUUUUAGUAAAACAUCUGACUGGACAUUAUUACAAAUUCCCCCUUUAACUAGUAUGAAGAUACAUUUAAGUGCACUUUUUCUCAAGGGUGUGCAUGUAAACCAAGUAGACACUAGUAGUAUUAUUAUUAUUCUUAGAUGAAUUUACCAUUAAAUAUGUUUGUAUUGAUUGUGGGCAUCAUUAGGCAAAAUAUAUGGAAAUGUAGAUAAUGCAUUUUGCUCACUAUGCGUUUGUUUGGUUUAAAAUUGUGCACACUUUUUUUAACUAAACAAAAGCAGCAGCAUGGUAGAUGUCUCUGUCUGAUUAAGAUAUCAUAUCCCUUUAAACAUCUGUGAAUCUAAUCACCUUGCCACAAAGGUUAAAAUGUGGCAAAAUAGGAUUUCUUAACCUAUUUUUAACUUGACUGAUGAACAAGCUAAUUGGUCUUUUGACUGAAUAACAGGUGUUCUUAAUUGACAAAUGCAUAAAGGGCCCCAGAGCGGGCAGACAGAGAUUAAUGACCACAGUUUCUCUUAUGUGUUUCUCACACCUCUGUUUUAGCCAUACCAUGUGCCUUCUCCCUUUAUCCGUGUUUUGCUCAGCAUGUUUGCUUGAAUUAGUGUGA